GACGAACGCUGGCGGCGUGCUUAACACAUGCAAGUCGAGCGGAAAGGCCUCUUCGGGGGUACUCGAGCGGCGAACGGGUGAGUAACACGUGAGUAACCUGCCCCAGUCUUUGGGAUAACCCUCGGAAACGGGGGCUAAUACCGGAUAUGACUGUCACCUGCAUGGGUGGUGGUGGAAAGUUUUUCGGUCUGGGAUGGGCUCGCGGCCUAUCAGCUUGUUGGUGGGGUGAUGGCCUACCAAGGCGACGACGGGUAG
rnacentral:rRNA from 1 species